GCUCGAAGGUGCGGGUAUCGAACAGGAUUAGAUACCCUGGUAGUCCGCACGGUAAACGAUGGAUGCCCGGCUGUUUUGCGAUAUACUGUGAGCGGCCAAGAGAAAUCGUUAAGCAUUCCACCUGGGGAGUACGCCGGGCAACGGUGAAACUCAAAGGAAUUGACGGGGGCCCGCACAAGCGGAGGAACAUGUGGUUUAAUUCGAUGAUACGCGAGGAACCUUACCCGGGCUUGAACUGCCAGCGAACGAUUCAGAGAUGAUGAGGCCCUUCGGGGCGCUGGUGGAGGUGCUGCAUGGUUGUCGUCAGCUCGUGCCGUGAGGUGUCGGCUUAAGUGCCAUAACGAGCGCAACCCUUUUCUUUAGUUGCCAUCAGGUAAUGCUGGGCACUCUGGAGAUACUGCCACCGUAAGGUGUGAGGAAGGUGGGGAUGACGUCAAAUCAGCACGGCCCUUACGUCCGGGGCUACACACGUGUUACAAUGGGGGGUACAGAGAGUCGGAUAUACGCAAGUAUGUUCUAAUCCUUAAAGCCUUCCUCAGUUCGGACUGGAGUCUGCAACCCGACUCCACGAAGCUGGAUUCGCUAGUAAUCGCGCAUCAGCCAUGGCGCGGUGAAUACGUUCCCGGGCCUUGUACACACCGCCCGUCAAGCCAUGAAAGCCGGGGGCGCCUGAAGUCCGUUACCGCAAGGAUCGGCCUAGGGCGAAACUGGUAAUUGGGGCUAAGUCGUAACAAGGUAACCGUA
rnacentral:rRNA from 1 species